rnacentral:rRNA from 1 species
UACGAAGGGUGCAAGCGUUACUCGGAAUUACUGGGCGUAAAGCGUGCGUAGGCGGUUUGUUAAGUCCGUUGUGAAAGCCCUGGGCUCAACCUGGGAAUUGCAGUGGAUACUGGCGAGCUAGAGUGCGGUAGAGGAUGGUGGAAUUCCCGGUGUAGCGGUGAAAUGCGUAGAGAUCGGGAGGAACACCCGUGGCGAAGGCGGCCAUCUGGACCAGCAUUGACGCUGAGGCGCGAAAGCCAGGGGAGCAAACGGG